GGGCAGGAGGUUGGUGCAAGCGCCUCGUUCACACCGAGGAGGUCCCUGGUUCAAUCCCAGGCGCGCCCACCA
rnacentral:tRNA from 1 species